rnacentral:rRNA from 1 species
UACGUAGGUGACAAGCGUUGUCCGGAUUUACUGGGCGUAAAGGGCGCGUAGGCGGCGCAACAAGUCACUUGUGAAAUCUCCGGGCUUAACCCGGAGCGGUCAAGUGAUACUGUCGUGCUAGAGUGCGGAAGGGGCUACUGGAAUUCUCGGUGUAGCGGUGAAAUGCGUAGAUAUCGAGAGGAACACCUGCGGCGAAGGCGGGUAGCUGGCCGACACUGACGCUGGAUGCGCGAAAGCCAGGGGAGCGAACGGG